UACGUAGGGUGCAAGCGUUGUCCGGAAUUAUUGGGCGUAAAGAGCUCGUAGGCGGUCUGUCGCGUCGGAUGUGAAAACCCAGGGCUCGACCCUGGGCCUGCAUUCGAUACGGGCAGACUAGAGUUCGGUAGGGGAGACUGGAAUUCCUGGUGUAGCGGUGAAAUGCGCAGAUAUCAGGAGGAACACCGGUGGCGAAGGCGGGUCUCUGGGCCGAAACUGACGCUGAGGAGCGAAAGCGUGGGGAGCAAACAGG
rnacentral:rRNA from 1 species